UCUGUUGUAGCCUAGUUGGUUAGGAUAUUUGGCUCUCACUCUAAAAACCUGGGUUCAAAUCCCGGCAAUGGAA
rnacentral:tRNA from 1 species